GGAGAGAUGGGCGAGGAAGGGGGAGGAGAAGGUAACGUCGUCGGUCGUCGGUGUGAUAAAGUGACCGAAUGGAAAAGACGGCGCAUAAUGCGCUAUAGAAAGCCGAAUAUUGUGCCGCGUUGGCAAAGGGGUAAUUCCGCAGUAGGAAGUCUUAUUGGAAAAGGGUAGAUAAGGGCGCGCCGCGCGCGUCGCGGCUCUCGCGCCCACACAAGGGCGGCUGGGCUCUGUGCAUCGGUGUAUAUGUACGCGCGGUGUGUUGUACGCCGCGCGGGCGUGUGGCGUCGUCGCCGGGAGAGCGGAAAUUAAAUAUGCCUGACUCGAUAAGUCAGAGCACCGCGACUGUGCUCCGUAUCAACGGGCGGGAGAUGAGCUAUUGUGCUAUUUUCGUGCGGGAUCUGUGCACGAGGCCAUCCCCCUCCGCCUGUACGCUACGCGGCGUCUCUCCUCCGCGCGUGAAACGCUCCGCGCGUUUCGUUUAUUCCCUCGCCUGCUCGCUCGCUCGCUCGCUCGCGGUGGCGGAGGCGGAUAUCGCCCUGACGCGUCCGGCGAACGCUCGCGCGGACGUGUCCUGCCUACCCUUCGUCCUCGGUUUCAUUCUCCUCUUUCUCCUUCUCUCUUUUUUCCGCCCCGUAACGGAGAUUGCAUCGGGAUUGCGUUUUUUUCGUCCAAUGCUAAUAGAUUUUUUUUUUUUUUACGCUGGGAUUAAUAAACGCGCGCGCGGAACAUACGGCGAGAUCGAUCCCGCGCGUUGACUGCUAGAGAGACUUUUCUUGGAGGGCAAUCGCGAAAGAAUGUUGUGACGCUCGUCGUAACCUUUAAACGAUGUGGACCGGAAGUGUUUAUUUUAUAAUAUUUUAUCUUAAAUGAAAACUACCAUCCCGAUGUAUUAUUCUUGCAUACCUUGCGAAUAAAUUCUCGUGAACAAACCAUUGCAAAUAAAUGAAACUCGUGUAUAAACAAAAUAAUUGUGUCAGAUUAAAGGCGAUGUUAAUGGCAAUGUACAUUGUCGAUUGUUUUUUUUUUCACUUUCAUCGCGAUAGGCGAUAGGAGAAAAAUUCCAACGCGGCUGCGUGCAGCGGCAGAGAAAAAAUUAGUCUAAUCAGAUAAUAAGGCGAACGCGGACGAAAUAAUUAUAUUAGAUUUAUCGAACCGGACGCUAAACGAGCUCCUUAGAUAAUAGGCUUUUUAUGACUUCGCAGCACGAACCCGCGCGCCGCUUGAAAGUUACGAUCCUGUAAAGCCCUCUUUACGAGACCAUUACCAGGGCUGUUACUCAUAUUUUUACCCCCCAACGAUUCGAGAGACACUUCGACAAUAGCACGAUAGAUGAGCGAAUGUGAUAACUCCGCUCCGUGAAACAACUUUUUGCCUUCUCUCUGCGACGUGUUUAUUCAUCGCUCGAGUCUAGUGAUUAUCAAAUGUCUCGCAAUGACGUCAGUCGGUUCAGUGAGCGAUGUUAGGACUGAGAAAUGACUUUGUGUGCUGUGGCAACGAUUCGAGUUGUCCCAAACCGCGCGCUUUGUGAUUCAUGAAAUUAACGACUGUUUGACGAUGCUAAUGGGAUUCGUACUUAUUAUGAAUAAUGUCAGCGUGCAAAUGAAAACUCAUACAUGUUAUGUAAUGUGUUUUUUUUUUUUAACGGAACGGAAAGUUUGAAAUAUUAUAUAAGCGGGCAACGACGUUCAGGAUCAUAUAUAGUAUAUGUAUACUGAUGGGAAAAGAAACAAGCGUGGUCCUUUAAUAAGAAAGAAACAGAAGGAUUCGUUCUACAUUAUUUUGUCAUUAACACAGUUCACUGAAGCUAACUGAAGAGUGCAUACAAAAUUUUGAGACAUCAUCGAGAGAAAUAUAACAGAGAGAUUGGUUUUAAAGCGGAUUAUUGCCCCAUCUAUUUCAUAUCUUCCUGUUAUUACAACAAAUCACAUUUCCGUCGCUGGGAAAUCGAUUCCAAAUUCGCCAUAGAAUUGGUAACUGGGGAAUAAUUCGAUAAACCUGGGGCAACCUCUAUAAAUUCUCUGCUUUUUACAGUCGCGGCGGAUACCACGAUAGCGAUCACAAAUUCGGUCCAGCGCGCAACGGCAUGGCACUCGCACCGGUGAGUAGGGAGGAGGAAGACAGAGGCGAGAAGUCGGCGAGGGGGAUUGCUCGUGCGGGGACUUUUCCGUCGGGUGAAACACCUGAGGAGGAGGAUUUGCGGUACCGCCGAAGCGUCGACAAAAGAAACCGCCCCUAUUAGAGGUGCAACGUUGUGCAUCGACGAAGGGGUGAACAGGCUGCAGACACAAGCUGGUUACAAAGAGGAGUUAGCUCGCUCUAGAAAUACGGAUUUAACUGCCGGUGGCGUUUUAUGACCAAGACACAGUGUACCCGGUUGCACAUCUGCGACGCUUAAGUUCUCAUCGUCCGCGUGUCCCGUGCGGUACCACCGGAGCGGAGACGGAAAAAUGCUUCGAUUUCAAAUACGAGAGGCGACGCUGCGGACGCAAACAGGAGUGGCACACUCUGCGCUUUUUUCGUAACAAUGUAAUUGAGAAUUAAUAUCGAAGUAUUAUAUUUGCGCAUCGUAACUCGAUAUUUCAAGUAUUUUUCAACUAUUCCGACAAUUCCUUCAAUCUCGCGUUGAAGAGAGCAUUACCGUACAUACGCGAUGCACGCGCGCGCAACUCGUACAUGGUGUAUUAAUUACGUUUAACUUGUCGCUUAGUCCGGGCGUUUUUCGACAAUGGGCGUAAAGUUUGGGACCACUCGUUGGGACGGAACGGCGGUCCCGCUGUCGCUAUAUCGUCGGGCCUCGCGGCGGCACUGACUGAAAUUCGAGCCGGCAGAUCUAAUGGUGCCAGCGGCAAGUCAUCACGUACGGACCCCUUUUCGGGCUCUGCCGUCACGGAAAAAAGCGCGGAAUCAAAGUCGCCAGCACGCGAAAGCCGUCACGAAGCGUCGUGUCGUGUUUCGAGCAUUAACUAACGCGCGUAUCAUCGCGAUGGCAACAUGAGAAUUUGCGAUCGGCCGUGCUUCUCGUCGCGGCUCUCUCGUGACGUUUCGACGGGUUACGCUGUUUACUCUUCAUCGUUCGAAUGACGUUUUAAUUAGAAAUCAUAGAAGAAGAGCCUCAAGUGUUUUCUGGCGAGCGUUGCGGUUGAAAAAAAAGUUUAACUCGUCGAAUAAACGUACGAUGCAGUUUACUGAAUUCUACACGGCUCUGAUUUUGUUCAUUUUCAAUCAAUUUGUCAUUCAUUCUUUCUAUUUAAGUUAAAGUUGAAAAACAAUUUUUGGAAUAUAAUUAUAAUUUUAUAAACUUGAAAUAAUAUAAAUGUUUGUUUGAGGUUUUGAGCGUUAAUUUAUCAUUCAAUUUUAUCUUUAAUUUUGUAUACUCGAAGAAACAACUUUUAAUGAAAAGACACAGACCAUGUAAACUUUCUUCGCGCAAGUUCGACUGAAUUUCUGCUCAAGUUUCGAACAUCCUCUCUUUCUCAUCUCUGUAAUUUUUGCAUCGAGAAUCUCGCCGUAUCGGCGACCACUUUCGACUGACACUGAAGGAGAUGCGUUUUAAUUUUGUUUUUUCUUCGAGCGACGGGCGUUUUUUCUGCGAACGCUCGAAGAGCAGAGAGCCCACCGUCUAUUUUGGCCCGGGUAAGACGCUAAAGCGCUAAACGGUGCGUGCCGACGAACUCCAUGUAGAGAUACCUUAAGAUACGAGGGACAACCUGACGGGGAUGCCCGCGCUCCAUUAACCGCGAACCGCAAAUCGAAGCGGGUCCGGCCUAAUGAAGCCGUCGCGGAGCGAGAUUACGAAAAAAAGACGGCCCAUCGCCGUACAUGUCAAAUAAAUGUCGUCGUUUCUACGUUUGUAAGGAUCGUAACGGUAAAUCCGGCCUCUCAACCCUUUGCGCGCCAGCAACUCGAGGAAACGUUUCACAAUUAACAAUUAUUAAAGUAAUCCACGAUUGGAAGGACCUUGCCGAAGGACUAAAUAUUUUUGUCGAAAAUAAGAUACAUUUUUUAUGACCAAGAAACAUAUUUCGAUACACCGAAGUCUAUUAUUCUGACAAAAGACAUAAAACUACUUGAUCUCGAAACUCUACCAAGAUUAUUUAACGCAAAUCUUUUAGUUGAUUUUACGUCAACAGGCAGGCAGGCGCAAAAAACUUUUAUUUUUCGUUUUUCUGUAUUAUUAUCUUAAUUUGUUUCUUCUUUAUUUUCACAUUUUCUUCAUUUUCUUUUUUGUGAAUGUUUCGCUUCGUUCAACGCUGAUUUGUCGCUCGGGCGACCACUUCGUGUCUUCAGCGUAGCUACACUCCUGGUAGUUCUCCUCCGCCGCCGUCGCCGUUUUAACUCGUGCGCCGGUCUUCGCCGGGAUAUCGUCUGUAAGAUGAGACGCAGCAGAGAAGCGCACCCGAUACGGUGGACUAAUUGGCCGAUAAAUCAACCGCCGGCUUACCUUCGCUGCCGCGGCCCCGAGCUCCUGACCUUCUAGACUCAUAGGCGGACUAUCCGGACGCGCGGUAUACGCAUGCCGCGAGCCUAAUUUCAAAUGCGAGUCCAAGCUGCGAGCGAACUGUAUCGACCUUCGGCCGACGACGCCGGAUACCGAUUAAAAUCGUUUUGAUUUGAAUUUUAUUAGACAAGUUAGCGACGCUUUGUUUCGCAAAUUGUUAUUCUUCAGUAAUAAUUAUUUGUUGCGUAAACAGUAUAUUUAUGUCUAGUAAUACAUAAAAGAAAUAUAUAUCGGAUUGUGCGUUUGCAGAACAUUAUUACUUGAUAUCUACGAACUCAGCAAGGCAGACGAGAUGAGGUAUAUAAUUAUUAAUAUAGAUUAACGAUUAGCCUCAGUCAUAAAAACAGAAUAUGUUGUAUAAUUUUAAGAGGUAAAAAGAGUUACGUUUAAUCAAGCUAAAUUAGAUUACAUAAGGACAAGUAAUCAAAGACAAAAAGAAUCGUGCCGCUGCAACAUGGAAGCCGCAGUGAAGCGCAGUAGCUCGUCUACUCGCAAGCGAAACAUCAGCAUAUCGCGCUCGAGUCGAGUCCGACUUCGGUCACGUAGCUCCCGCCGGUAGCUCCGGUAGCUCCGGUAAUUUGUGUCCGCAAGCGGCGGCGCGUCGCGCCGAUGCGAUAUCUUUCGUGCGAAAGCAGCGAGAAUGUGAGAAAGCGCGGAGUGUCGCGCGGCGGAACAGGUUCCUCGGUUUCCGGGAGCAGAUCGGCGGCGGCAGCCGGGGGCAGAUCGGCAGCGGCAGCCGGUGGUGGCGUCAGGCGCAGGGGAGCGCAGCUUCAAUCGCGCGCACGCACCACCGCC